GAUGGCCACAUCAAUAACCCUUUCUUACAAAAUGGCAAAAUGUUUGGUCAUAAAUCCUCUCUUUUAUAUAAAUAAUUUUUCCUUUCAGUGACCAGUGCACCGUCUCCUUCCUCAUUAAGUCCUGUUCUAGCAGGUGGAGAUUCUCCAUUAUUAACCUGUGACUUUGCUCCAAACGCUGCCUCAAGCCCAUUACUUUUUCAAUGUGGUCAAGACCUCAAUGAUGAAACAUUUUAUGAGCCUGCAGAACAGCUGGCAGCUUUGAAGGAUGAAGUUUCUAUUAUACAAGGUGAACUAGACCCUAAGGACCCUGACACAACAUUUUGUGAACCUGCUGCUGCUGACCAGGAUGCUGCUCAGAAAAAGGAAAAUGUCCAUCCUAGGAGUCCAAUCCUAGGGGUCGGGAUUGCUCGGAGAGCAAGGAGGAGAAUUCUGUGCGACACUGAAGAGCAAGAAAAGCCUGCUUCAGCUUUGGGGACAAGUUA